AAACAAAAAUUGUCGUAAUAUACUUGAUCCCUUGGAUUUUUGUCACAAUGUCAUGGAAAGAAAAUUCAAAGUGAAGGAUAUCUAACUAUAAGUGAGUAUGCACACAAUGUAACAAUCGCUAUUUACGAAUUGAAGUAAAAGUUUUAUAAUUCACACCUUAUAUUAGGUGCUAGCUAUAUACACACAAAUUUUUGACACUUUGGAGAAUAAAUAGGUCAUCAAAUAUUUCAAUAAGCAAUUUAAUUUAAUUUAUGUAGUAUUUUUCUACUAGUGUUGGCGGGAAAAUGGACCACCCCAUAAAUAUAAUCAGAACACCCGAAUCCGACGGCAAGGCCGAGCUCAUGCAGACCGAGUUCAGGCCGAGCUUAGAAGACCGAGCUCAUGCAGGCCGACCCGAGCUCAUGCAGACCGAGCUCAGAAGGCCGAGCUCAGAAGACCGAGCUUGUCGUCCACAUGCGGCGGCCAUGCCCUGCAGCAGUCUCAUCGUACCAUGCUUGGCAUGCUGGCCACGCCACGACACAUCAACCAGGGACCAUACCCUGCUACGACUGUCAACAAUUAAUGCGCAUGGUCUCCACGGAUCUCCGGGUUACUCAAAACCUCAGGCCAUCCACGGCAACUCAUCG
rnacentral:lncRNA from 1 species